rnacentral:misc_RNA from 1 species
AACGCACAUUGCGCCCCUUGGUAUUCCGAGGGGCACGCCUGUUCGAGCGUCAUUCAGACCAUCAAGCCCGGCUUGGUAUUGGACCGGCCGGGGGGGCUCACCCCCCUCCGGCGGUCCCAAUGGCGUUGGCGGCGCGGCCCGACCCGAAGCGUGACGACAUCACGGCCGAGGGACGGGCGGCGCCCGCCAGAUCACCCCCUUUCACAAGGUUGACCUCGGAUCAGGUGGGGAUACCCGCUGAACUUAA